GACGAACGCUGGCGGCGUGCUUAACACAUGCAAGUCGAACGGAAAGGCCCUGCUUGCAGGGUACUCGAGUGGCGAACGGGUGAGUAACACGUGGGUGAUCUGCCCUGCACUUCGGGAUAAGCCUGGGAAACUGGGUCUAAUACCGGAUAGGAGCCAUUUUUAGUGUGAUGGUUGGAAAGUUUUUUCGGUGUAGGAUGAGCUCGCGGCCUAUCAGCUUGUUGGUGGGGUAAUGGCCUACCAAGGCGGCGACGGGUAGCCGGCCUGAGAGGGUGGACGGCCACAUGGGGACGGGGUACCGGCCCGGACUCCUACGGAGGCAGCAGUGGGGAAUAUUGCACAAUGGGCGCAAGCCUGAUGCAGCGACGCCGCGUGGGGGAUGACGGCCUUCGGGUUGUAAACUCCUUUCGCUAGGGACGAAGCUUUUUGUGACGGUACCUAGAUAAGAAGCACCGGCUAACUACGUG
rnacentral:rRNA from 1 species